UACGUAGGGUGCAAGCGUUGUCCGGAAUUAUUGGGCGUAAAGAGCUCGUAGGCGGUCUGUCGCGUCGGCUGUGAAAUCCCGGAGCUCAACUCCGGGUCUGCAGUCGAUACGGGCAGGCUCGAGUUCGGUAGGGGAGACUGGAAUUCCUGGUGUAGCGGUGAAAUGCGCAGAUAUCAGGAGGAACACCGGUGGCGAAGGCGGGUCUCUGGGCCGAUACUGACGCUGAGGAGCGAAAGCGUGGGGAGCGAACAGG
rnacentral:rRNA from 1 species